ACGAAAAUUCGUCCGAUCAGAGAAUCUGUCCGGAUCCCAGCGUUCGUACGAACAUUGUUUUCGGAUUAUUGGAUAUAUCGCGAGACAGAAGAGGUCGGAGGAUAAAAAUCUGCUGGCCCGUCCAACCUUGUAUUUGGAUCCAGAGAGAGUUAUAGUCCUUUCGAUCAAUCUAUUCGAGACAUCCCCUUUAUGCGGAUUCUGGAUAGUCGACAGAUCCCAGAUUAAUGUCGUUGGGGCUGUACUGGACAUACUGAAGGCAGUUAGAUAGCGAAUGGUAAGGGUGAAGGGUGCGGAUUGUUGUAUAUAUAGAGCAGGGAUGGAAAGAGAGUGGGUGAGAAACAGCAGCCUUUGUGUGCUCCGAUCGCUCGAAAGAUUAGAAAGAAAUGAAAGCGGCUCAAGUGUUCAGGACAGCUUAAUGUUGGUACAAACGAUACGACGGUUUACUUAUUUGUACCCGAAGAUCGAUCAACGCCCCCGAACGCUUUUUACGAUCGUCCUCCCGGAAAAUGCCUCUUUCCUUCUCUUUUCGUGAAUGUGUGAUGCUUUCGAUGGAAAAGGAACCUGCGGGCCAACUCUCGAUGCUCGUUCAAUCGAUAUCCCAUUAGGAAAAAAGGUUGAAGUAUCGCGUGAUGCUUCAACAAACAGAUUUGCUUCUUUUUCUUUUUUUUUUUUUUCUCGAAUUAUUAUUCAAUUCAGUCGGCGGCACUUUUAUUACACUCGUAUUAAAUAUCUCGCGUCAUUAAACGUCAUUAAAUACCGUAUGAUGGAAGUUUAAUUCAAUCCCCAAAGACACGUGCGCGAACUAAGAAGUGACAGUUCUCCUCCUCGGCCAACUCCGUACAAAACUUUGGCCAACUUUGCGUUUAAAGAUCUAAACCAGUUUUGAAGCGAGCGAUCCAGUUUUCAACCGAGCGAGAGAUCAUCUUAUAUCCAUCCCGACGUUUUUAUUCCUAGAUUUAGUUAGGGGAG